rnacentral:rRNA from 1 species
AGCGAACGUUAGCGGCGGGCUUAACACAUGCAAGUCGAGCGAGAAAGUGGCUUCGGCCAUCAGUAAAGCGGCGGACGGGUGAGUAACACGUAGGUAAUCUUCCUUCGAGCGGGGGACAACGUUCCGAAGGGACGCUAAUACCGCAUACGUUUCUCGGGACUCUGGUCCUGGGAAGGAAAGCUAGGUCGCAAGAUCCGGCACUCGAUGAGGAGCCUGCGUAGCAUCAGCUAGUUGGGGGGUAAUGGCCUACCAAGGCGAAGACGCUUAGCUGGUCUGAGAGGAUGAUCAGCCACACUGAAACUGAGACACGGGUUCAGACUCCUACGGGAGGCAGCAGUGGGGAAUAUUGGACAAUGGGCGCAAGCCUGAUCCAGCCACGCCGCG